rnacentral:rRNA from 1 species
UGGGGAAUAUUGGGCAAUGGGCGAAAGCCUGACCCAGCGACGCCGCGUGAAGGAUGAAGGUCUUCGGAUUGUAAACUUCUUUGAUCAGGGAAGAAAGAAAUGACGGUACCUGAAAAACAAGCCACGGCUAACUACGUGCCAGCAGCCGCGGUAAUACGUAGGUGGCAAGCGUUGUCCGGAUUUACUGGGUGUAAAGGGCGUGUAGGCGGGGAUGCAAGUCAGAUGUGAAAUCCCGCGGCUCAACCGCGGAACUGCAUCUGAAACUGCGUCUCUUGAGUGUCGGAAGGGAAAGUGGAAUUCCUAGUGUAGCGGUGAAAUGCGUAGAUAUUAGGAGGAACACCGGUGGCGAAGGCGACUUUCUGGACGAUAACUGACGCUGAGACGCGAAAGCGUGGGGAGCAAACAGG